rnacentral:rRNA from 1 species
UACGAAGGGGGCUAGCGUUGCUCGGAAUCACUGGGCGUAAAGCGCACGUAGGCGGCUUUUUAAGUCAGGGGUGAAAUCCUGGAGCUCAACUCCAGAACUGCCCUUGAUACUGAGAAGCUUGAGUCCGGGAGAGGUGAGUGGAACUGCGAGUGUAGAGGUGAAAUUCGUAGAUAUUCGCAAGAACACCAGUGGCGAAGGCGGCUCACUGGCCCGGUACUGACGCUGAGGUGCGAAAGCGUGGGGAGCAAACAGG